rnacentral:rRNA from 1 species
GACGAACGCUGGCGGCGUGCUUAACACAUGCAAGUCGAACGGAAAGGCCCUGCUUUUGUGGGGUGCUCGAGUGGCGAACGGGUGAGUAACACGUGUGUAACCUGCCCUUCUCUUUGGGAUAACUUCAGGAAACUGGGGUUAAUCCCGGAUAGGAGAUCCUGCUGCAGGGUGGGGGUUGGAAAGUUUAGGCGGUUGGGGAUGGACUCGCGGCUUAUCAGCUUGUUGGUGGGGUAGUGGCUUACCAAGGCUUUGACGGGUAGCCGGCAUGGGAGGGUGACCGGCGACAUUGGGCCUAAGGUAGGGCCCAGACUCCUACGGGGGGCAGCAGGGGGGAAUAUGGCACAAGGGGCGGAAGCGUGUUGCAGCAACGCCGCGGGCGGGAUGACGGCUUUCGGGUUGUAAACCGCUUCCGCCUGUGACGAAGCGUGAGUGACGGUAAUGGGUAAAGAAGCACCGGCUAACUACGUG